rnacentral:rRNA from 1 species
AUUGAACGCUGGCGGCGGGCCUAACACAUGCAAGUCGAGCGUGCGGCGGACGGGUGAGUAAUGUCUGGUAACCUGCCUGAAGGCGGGGGAUAACUACUGGAAACGGUUGCUAAUACCGCAUACCAUCAGAUGUGCCCAGUUGGGAUUAGCUGGUAGGUGGGGUAACGGCUCACCUAGGCGACGAUCCCUAGCUGGUCUGAGAGGUUGACCAGCCACACGGGAACUGAGACACGGUCCAGACUCCUACGGGAGGCAGCAGUGGGGAAUAUUGCACAAUGGGCGCAAGCCUGAUGGAGCCAUGCCGCGUGUGUGAAGAAGGCCUUAGGGUUGUAAAGCACUGUCAGCGGGGAGGCGUUACCCGAAGAAGAAGCACCGGCUAACUCCGUGCCAGCAGCCGCGGUAAUUC